UGGAGACUCAGAAGAGAGCUCUGACUCAACUGAAGGACACUAUAGAGCUGAAGUGGAUGCAGCAGUAUGCAGUGGAUGUGACUCUGGAUCCUGAUACAGCUCAUCCUAAACUCAUUCUGUCUGAUGAUGG